rnacentral:tRNA from 1 species
GUUAAGGUGGCAGAGCCCGGUAACUGCAAGGGGUCUAAGCCCCCUGAACAGGGGUUCAAAUCCCCUCUUUAACU